AGUUCUACCUGGGGAUCACCACCUUUCAGAGUUUCUAUUGAGCCCUGGCCCUUGGAAAGGGCUUUCCUCUCCUGUGACUCUCACCUCCUCAUAAUCACCCUGUGUUUCUAUUAGGCUUGUGCCUGGGCUUGGCAUGGGGCAUGUGGAGCCGCUUCUUUGACCUGCAUGGAGACUUUCAGUGCCAAGUCUUUUCUGGAUUCUCAUUACACAGUCCUCUGUGAUGCUAGAUUUUAUAUUUUGUUAUAUCUUUAUAUUGUCACAGUUACAAGUUUAAACAGGACAAAAACUGAACCUAUGGAAGAAUCAAAUUUGAACACAAAUAUUUAAUUUCCUUAUAGCUUCCGAAAAGCAAAAUCUACCCCUAAUGUGAGCAGAUGCAAUUCUUUGCACUUACUGGAGGUAUACUGAAUUAUCAGAAGUCUGAACUGUCUUUUCACCUCAAUAUUGGUUAUUGUGUAUGUGCAGCAGCCACAAAUCUCCUGCCAGUAACACUCCAUGAAAAUGCAAAGCAUACAAGGAUACGUAUGUAUGGUUUUAUGGAAAUGUUAUAAUAGAAAGUAAACUGAGACUGAUAGAGUAGUAUUAGUUACCAUACUCCAGUUUGCACAGUUAAUAAAACAGCAUAUUUGUGAAACAAUUUGUAGGGGAUUGGCACUGCAGGAUUUUCCAGACUGUGGGUUAGAUAAACUGUUCUGUGUUCAGCAAGACACAUGUAAGGACUGCAAGCUAUUGCUGUGAGACAAAGUUUGAACCCUCUUAUGGAAUCAGAAGAAUGAAAUACUAGGAUAAGUGGAAUUGCAUCUUAAAAUUUGUAAAUUGAUGAAGUGGCUUGAGAGAGGAAGAGUAGUAGCAAACAACAGAAACAUCAUUCAGGAGAAGCGGUAAGGAAUAAAGAUAAUAGAGAAGCAGGACUAACACCUUCUCAUUAAAAUGAGGUAUUAUUGAUACUUCACCUUGUGAAGGGCAAAACUGGAGUUCAGAGGGCUCAGCCAGAGGAGAUGAGGACACGCAGAGUGGUAUUUGCAUGAGGUUCCGUCAUCCCAUAGUGAUAAAUCUGAGCACUCUCAGUGGUGCCAAUGCCUCACAGUACACUUCUGAGAAAGAAGGAACAGAUAACAAAGGAAAUGGUGAUGGAAUAUGCUAAGGAGUUGCAUAAGCACUGUAUUGAGGCCAGUUUCACUCUGGGAGCAAGUUGCUUCCCUGAUACAAAAGAUGGAGUGGAGCAAUACAGACCUAUAGUUUGUGUCUGCAUAAUAUCCACACAAGUACAAUCUGCAUUAUAUUUGUCAUUCCAAAACUGCAUGACAACUUGGAUCCAGCACAACACACAUGCACAGAGUACCUUGUCAGGUGGCGGUCUGGCACAACUCUGAUCUGGCUCAUAGCUCUCAGCAUCAUGUACUGCAUGGAAUCACACACAUUUCAAGGUGUUAGAGCUUAGCUGUAGUGUUGGAAUUAAAAAUGAAAGAUAUGAAAAAUGUAGCACUACUAUGUAAUUAAGGUGAAACUGGAUCUCAUUUAAAUGCAGUUGUCGAGUCAGCAUUUAACUUUUUGCAAGAUACAUGUUUUCAUGGGGUAAUUAGAAUAUCCAUAGCAUCUUGGUCUUCUGUAUUCUGACUUUUCUUUCCUGUUUUCUCUCUGAGUAAUAGCAGUCGUGCUACAUGAUGUGAAUUCGCUGUUACUCUUAAAAUGCAGCAUCUUAGGGAGAUACAAGAGAGAGCACAAAAGAUCUAAGCAAUAAAUAGCAAACGUAAACUCUGUUGGGCCUGGAUAGAGAGAGAAAUUUAGAAGAUCCUUUUUGUGAUACUAUGCAUAUAAGAGCAUUGCCAAAAAAUGGCACAUGGGAAAAGAUCUUUGUGGGAAAGGGACAUAGCCAUUGGCAUAUUUGAGAUGAUUGAAACCAAUGACCAAAUGCUUGUUAAAAGUUAGUUAUUAAUAUUUAUGCUGAGACUUUCAAAGGAGCCUAAGGGAGAUGUAUGCUCCCGACUCAUUGAAAUUCAACAGGAGCUGAGUGCCUAACUCCCUUAGCUUCUGCUAAAAAUCCCAGCCUUAAUCUCUGUAUAACAACCCGAUUUUGAUGUUUUACAAACCAUACUUCCAAUAAUAAAGAUAUGUUCAGGAAGCUGGCAGGAUGCUGUAGCUGUUCAUAUUGAGUUUCUGCAUUUUGACGUAGUUGUUUAAAGGACUUCAGAUGGAAAUUUGUAAAGCGAAGCAAUUUCCAGCUGAAAGCCUUGUAACACAGGUUUCAGCCUGUAUUAGCGAUGUAAACGUAUGCAUUCAACUUUGUAAUGAAAUUUAUGAAACCUAAUGAGCAUAUUUUUAUUGUGCUGUAAUACUAUGUUGGAUCUGUUCUCCCUUCUUCAUUUUUCUUUGCCUACAGCUACAAAUAAAUUUGACAUGC
ensembl:lncRNA